rnacentral:lncRNA from 1 species
CCGACAUUUCAUCAUUCUCUUUGUUUCUUGGCUGCCUCGUGGUAAGGAACUACUGGAGGAAGACUCAUGCCUAGUAUUUGCUGAACCUGAAAACUUCUUUAAGCUGCAGUUGUUGUGCUGGCCUCCUAGGAUAUUCAGCAGCUGGUCCUGUCACCUUCCAGAUAUUCAUAUGCUCAGCCAAAUCUGCAUAACUGUAAAUCAACACUAAGAGCAGUGGAAGGUUAAAGGUAAAGGAGAGUCUCACAAAGGAUCCAGGAAAUCAUUGCAUAUAUGGAAUGUAUGGGAAGGUCAUGGAUCAAGACAGCCAGUACAUUGUUCUUGAACACAUGAAUAUUCAAGAGAAGUCUUCUAAAUGUAACAAGCCUAGCAAUGUGUUUCUAGAAUCCCCCCAUUAUACACCUCACAAAUGUACUGAAUGUGACAAAUGCUUUUCCCAAAAAUCUCAUCUUAAUAUUCAUCAGAAAAUUCAUGCAGGAGAGAAACCUUACAAAUGCAGUGGAUGUGACAAAUGCUUUACUGAAAAAGGCAGUCUGAGAAGGCAUCAG